CCACAGUGGGAGGACCCAGCCCACAGUGGGAGGACCCAGCCCACAGUGGGAGGACCCAGCCCACAGUGGGAGGACCCAGCCCAUAGUGGGAGGGCCCAGCCCAUAGUGGGCGGGCUCAGCCCAUAGUGGGCGGGGCCACUCCUCGGCUGCUGUCUUGGGUGCUCCAAGAGGGCAGGCUGAAGAAGCCAUUCGUGAGGCAAGCCAGUCAACAUCACUCCUCCACCGCAUCUACAGUGCUCCUGCCUCCGGAUUCCCGCCCUGCUUGAGUUCCUGCCUGCCCCAACUGCUUUCGACAGUGAACUGCUGUCUUGUGUGUCUCAGACUGUCCUUGAACUUGUGAUGUAGCUGAGGACGAUGCUGAAUCUGAUCUUCCAGCCUCUGCCGUGUGCUGGGAUUCCAGGUGUGCUCCUCCACGUCCAGUUCACAGCAAUGCCAGAGAAUCCAGCCUAGGGUUUUGUGCAUGCCGGGCACACUGCCAAGUGAGCUCCACCAGAGCCUGCAACCCACAUUACUGCUGACUGCCCACUGGCUUUAAUGGACAGUGGAUUGAACUGUAUAAAGACAAGUCCUCCAGCCUUACUUUCUGCCUGGCCUAGGAAGGGACAGUUUCAUGUGCUAUAAGUCCAGCUCUUCCUGAGGGGAACUAAGGGUUAUUAUCCAGAGCUUUGCCCCAUGCAGAUUUUUCCUUCUAGAGGACCUAGGAAAUGGCCUUGUAGCCCCCUUUCAGGCACAGGUGACUUUGAGCUCCAGUGAAAUGGCCUGUCUCUCACAGGCAAAUGUUACCCUGAGUGCUUCUAAGGUCCCUCCUGACGUCCUCACAGGAUGCCUGAGAGGUCAGAUGCCCGUAGCUGGCUGUCCUGGACUCCUGCAGACAGCACUAUGGGAGCGGUUCCCAGAUCUCUAGGCCAUCACUCGCAGCUCCAGGAUGCACUGCUGACUUUACUGAGAGUUGGGUUUCCUUGUUUGGCAUCUUCAGAGUGGCUGGGCCCUGCAGACUUCCAGAUGUCUGUCCUUAAUAUCGGAGCUAGAUUUCCUGGGCAAUGAGUGCCCUCCUCAUGCAAGAAUUCCCUCUUGCCAGGGCUCUGCCCACAGAACAAGCAGGCAUGAUAUUCCGAAGACAACUCCGGCUUUGCCAGGGACCACUGCUACUCUGUCUGCAGCCUCACCCUGUCUUGUACCAGCCUGAGGUGAGAGUCAGGGACAAACUCAUGAUCCCUGCUUUAGAGGAAAUAUUAGGGCCCUGAGAGUCGAGGUAAUAUCCACAGUGGUGCAGCCAUUUUUUUUGGGGGGGGGCAGAAUAGAACUAGAAGGCCCUCACUCCUGACCUUCCAUCAUUCAUCCACAGUAACUCCAACUCACUUAGUUUAGGUUUGGCACAGGCCCAGCAAUCCUGGUUACACAACCAAUACCAAGCAUGUAUAAAUAGACACAAGUGCUUUGCCUCAGAGAAUCUAUGAUUCAAAAUCACAGGAUUUGUACAUUGCACAGCCAGAUGUCUCUGGAAAUAUGGGAAAGAGUAAAGCCUAGAAAUAGC